CGCCUCCUCCGGCUCCUCCUCGGCCGCCUCCUGCCCCGCUUCCUCGGGCUCCUCCAGGAAGGUGGGAGAAGAAAGCUCUGCAUUUCUAUUGGAGCCCUCAAGGAUCUUCCACUUUGCCUCUCCUCAUGGCCUCCUGUUACAUACAGCUUUCUUCAUCCCCCAGUUUGAAGAGGAUUGGGCAGGGUUCCCACUCCAAGUACUUCAUUUCUAUCAUGGGAUUGCUGUGGAGUGAAACAAGGUAAGUAUGUCAAGUGGUUGACUUUCGGCUGUGUAGCAACACAAUCUUUCACCUCAUCAGAGCAUUCGACCUCUAAGUCUUGGAACCAAGAAGGAGAAAAGCAUGGAGAUGGCGGAUCCGCCUGAUGCUCUGAGAGAAAAGGUGAGGAAUGAGCUGAAGAGGAACCAUAGGACAUACUGCCAUCUGUGCCAGGUAAGAGAACCAGACUUGUCUUGGCCAAGAGGGGACAAUCAGAAUAAUUCUCGCUUUAUCUGGUUGCAUUUUCAACAAGACUUUGGAUACAAGAGGAAACAGGGGAAAGGCAUACAAGAGGUCAAUGUCUCAUGGGAGGAUGAGGGCUUCUUCCAGUGAAUGUUUCCCCCUGAUGGCUCCGGCAUUAAUGAGGACAUUUCUUGUGCCAGCAAGUAGCAAAGAGAUCUGUAGUUGGGGUUUCCUAAAGGGCGAAUACGUUGCGAAGCACCUCUAAGUUCAGUUUCCAUUCGGGGUCUUGAGAAAAGUUCUGCCUGAGAUUGUCAGCUGUCACAUUCUGCAUCUUUAGUAGGUAGAAGGCCGAUAUGAGCACGUUGUGAUGGAUGCACCAGUUCCAAAGCACCAGUUGAGUGCUUCUAUGCAGAGGGACGGAGAUCUGGCACCCCCUGGCAAUUUAUGUAAAACAAAGAUCGUACUGUCUGUUCCAUUAUUUCCAAUCUCCCUUCACUUUUGAGAGUGAAGGGAGAUUGGCAGGCUAUUCUAGACCUAAGGGCACUAAACAAAUAUGUGAAGGCGCAGAAGUUCAAUAUGGUCACCCCUGCAGCCAUUAUUCCAGCUCUAGAGCAAGGAGGUUGGUUUUCGGCUCUUGACCUACAAGAUAUCUUCUUCCACAUCUCAAUACAACCCUCGCACAGGAGAUUCCUAUGGUUUAACCUUUGGGUAGGACUAUAUCAGUACAGAGUGCUCCCAUUCGGCCUCUCGUCUGCACCCAGGAUAUUUUCCAGGGUUCUCUCUGUCAUAGCAGCACACCUGCGAACACUGGAUAUUGUUAUCUACCUGUAUCUGGACGAGUGCUUCCUCAGGGCUCCUUCAUUCGAGGACGCAGUACAAGCCAUCCAGGUGACCAUGUGCACAUUUGGGCAGCUGGGCCUGCAACUCAACAUACAGAAAAUCGGUACUGACCCCAGACAGUGACUGGGUUCAGUGGCCCUAAAGGGUAACAGAUCUAUUUACUGAUGAAGUAGAUUCCUGUGAGAUGGGUCCCUGAAGAGGGACGGGGAAGGGAGGCGGAAGUGAGGGAGGAAUGUGAAUUGAAUGGCGUAACCCUUAAAAAUAAUCUCCGAGACCCAUCUGUCAGAGGUGAUAUUCUUCCAACUGUUGUGAAAGAGGGCCAAGUGACUUCUGAAGGGACAUGACAGGUGCACAGAAAGCAGCUGAUAUUGCAAGGAAUAACUGUUCGGGCCCUCAACCAAACUGUCAAAAGUGCUCAGUGGAGGAGAGGUGAAGGGACGCAGAUUGGAGUGCUGACUGCUUCCACUUUUGUACUCUGGACCUUUUGCAAUACGAUUCAUAAUAGCACUGAGGGUGGGUUCUGAAGAGGUUGUGACCUGUGAUGUGGUUGAGAGCUAUAUCUUCUCUUUUGUCCCGCAGUGUAGAUUCCCAGGAAGCAUAAUGUGGCCCAGGAAUCCUUCAGGGUGUGGAGAGUGGAGUCUGUCUUAUCCGCCAAGAGCUUGGGCCCUUCAAACAGGAGAUCUUCCAUCAUUAUCUGCAGUUCUUUGGACAACCCUGAAAGGUGUAACCAGGAAGCCCACCUCAUUUUCACUACCUUAGAGACCAAGCAGGCUGCUGUAUCGGCCACAUCCAGUAUCUGUAGGGUAGUUCUAGUUACUAAACGGCCCUCUCUGACAAAGGCCUGAAACUGAUCCUUUUGUGCCUCAGGUAGAUGUUCCACAAACUCAUUGUGUUUUCCGUAAUUAAUAAAAGCAUAUUUGGCCUUGACAGCUUGGUAGUUCAUGACUCUAAGCUGCAAUGUCUCCAACGAAUAUGCCUUCCUCCCAAAGAGAUCGAGCUUCUUCCAAUCCCAAUUGAAUGGGGUCGACUUGGCAUGAUGUUGUUUGCUGUGUGCAUUAACUGCAUCCACUACAAUCAAGUUGGGUUGCGAAUGUUGAAACAAAGCCUGCCUUUUUGGGAGGGAUGUAGUACUUCUUGUUGGCUCUCUUGCAGGUUGAUGCGAUGGAGGCUGGUGUCUGGCCAGAUGACUUUGGCAGGAUCUAGAGUCACCUCAUUGAUUGGGAAGGCACUUUUGGACAAGGAAGCAGCAUGGAGAAUAUCCACCAGCUUGUGAUGCAUGUCUGUUAUCUCCUGCAGGGGAAUUUGCAGCUCAUCUGCCACUCUCUUGGGUAAUGAAACACUAACUAUUAAGAACAAAAGAACCUAAAACAACUACUACUUAUGCUAAUGAUGCAGAUAAAGAAGGGACAACUGAAAAGGAGUACUUGUGGCACCUUAGAGACUAACCAAUUUAUUUGAGCAUAAGCUUUCGUGAGCUACAGCUCACUUCAUCGGAUGCUGCUCGUCCAGUUUGAGGUCAAAGGAAGGAACUGAGGGGGGUUCCCUCGCACAGCGCUAGACAGCCUUGAGGCAGACCACAAGGGAGAGAGAGCGCGCAUGGACACUGCUACCUCAAAUCUCCGAUCAGAGGCGUAGGGGUGAAGAUACAUCUACAGUGGAGUACCCAUAGGGACACUACUUGAAAAAAAAAAUCUAUAUUCCAAAACUGAAGAUAGCAUUUUAGGAUCUUUAUGCAAAGAGAUCAAAACUAACAGACUGUGUAACAAACUUGACGUUUAAAACACUCUACGGCUUUAGAAUUUUAUUUUUGAGAGUCUAAUGAAAAGAAACAACUUCAAACCCCAAGCAAGAGAAGCUAUUAAAUUCCUCUACAGGUUCCAACAUUUCCAGAUUGAUAAGUAUUCUGUCCACUUCUCCCUAGAAAAUCUGGGAAGUAUCCAGAGUUAGGACUAAAAGGAAAUGGCUAGCCAGAAAGACUGCAUUAAAAUUUUUUGUUCAGGAGAUGCUGGUAGUUUUAUUCCAAUCCAGGUGACUGACUAAAUAGGUCUCGCAAAAAGAGUUCAAUUCUUUAGUUAUCCUCAAGAUUGAGUGAAAUUCCUGAUAUUGCUAGGAAGUGUUCUGAACAGAUCAGUUACAGACAUAUUUAUGAUUAAUCACAAGAAUCUGAACCAAAUUUUAUCUUAUUAGGUUGACGAAAGUGCUCUUAAUAAGGGGAAGGCAGAAGACAGUAAAAUUUCCUGUAUACAAUGAAAUAACUUGAUAGUGGCUUUAAGUUGUGCAUUGACUAUUAAUUAUCAGAGAUAUGUUUUAAGAUCAGUCUGAGUAUUUGGUAUGAAAAAAUUCCAGUCAUUGAUAUAAAAUAAGUGACUUUGCAAAAGAGACUUCUCUAAUGUACUUAAUUUUAAGGUGAAGACUCAUACAAUUGUAUGUUUUGUUUAUACCUUCACAGUGAGAUGAUAGUGUCUUGUACAAGCCCACCAGAAUUUAAAAUAAUUAAUUAGGGCUCAGAUAUUAAGUUUGGUCCAGUUGGAUUAAAGUUUAAAUUUUGAUUCUCUUCUGGCAAGAAUGUACAUGAGCCAUUAAUAGCAUAAAAAACCAGACACCCUAUACUAAUUUUCUAGACUAUUUUCUUAACUAAAAAUGUAUAAUUAUUGUUAUUUUUGCAACACAUCUAGAAUUGCUGCUAUACUUGAACUUUUCAGGAGUAACUAACUUGCUAGCAUCUAUUUCUAACACUGACGUGUAAGGUAACAAUUUUUCAUGCAUGAUUGUUGACAUUUUCCAGUGCAAAGGGAGAAGAGACGUUUAAAAAAAACCACAAUGCAGUGAUUAAAAAUUAAUCUCACAAAUGCAGCCUUAAUUAAUAUGGCUUUAGAAAUCAGCUUUGCUAAUCCAGAACUGAUUUUUUAUUUAUUUAUUUCUUAUGCUUGAAGUCAAAAGUCCUUGGAUCAUAUCUCAAAGUUAAUAUCCAUCCCUCAAGAAACCUUUCUGCCCACAGCAGAUAAGACAUGAUUGUGCUAUAUUGAUAUAUUAAACUCAAUUUACUGUUAAUCUCUACAUGCAAUUGUUCAUAUUUGUUAAAGGUACAAGAUUUAACACAGGUGAACAGUUUUCGGAGUUUUGCUGGCACUUGGUAAGAGGCUGGAAGUUAGUUACCUCCUUUUGUAGAUGGAGUUUGAAGAAACUGUUUGGUUUUGAAGGCAGCACGAGGCAAUUUUUUCUGCCUUUGCAUAGCUGUUGAAAGAUAAGAAGUGUUAUAUUUGUCUAGAAAGUCAACAACUCAAUUCACUUGGGAUAUAGAACCACAUCUGCUUGUGAAGCAUCAGGGAACAAGCAGCUAGCAAAAAUUUUUAAAAAUCUACACAUUAAACCUUUAAUGCUUAGACAAAGAUGGUCAUCACAUUAUCCUAGAAGCAUCCAAUUGUGAAUGAACAUUUGAAGAUUAAAAAGAUACAGAGGAAAAUACAGCACUAAUACUGCAUUUCAACAAUUACAAGCAAUCUCACACACAAUUAAGGGAAGAAGAGGGGAAAACUCUGUGGAAACUUCAAGAGGACUCAGCAUGGAUGUUAGAUGUCCUGGACAAGUUUGGAAGACUACGCCUUAGUUUUUCUGUA